rnacentral:tRNA from 1 species
GCGCGGCUGGACGAGGCCGCGCUGGCGGUGCUGUCGCCGGCGCAGUGGGCGAGCUUGCCGCUGCGGCUGAUCCCGGCCGCCGCGCUGCU